ACAUCCAAGGAAGGCAGCAGGCGCGCAAAUUACCCACUCUCAAAACGAGGAGGUAGUGAAGAGAAAUAACGAUGUUAGUCUAUUAUAGGCUGACAAUCGGAAUGGGAACACUGUAAACAGGUUAUCGAUUAACAAUUGGAGGGCAAGUCUGGUGCCAGCAGCCGCGGUAAUUCCAGCUCCAAUAAGGAAAACUAAAGUUGCUGUGUUUAAAAAGCUCGUAGUUGAAUUUCGGGUAUUUGUUGCUAGCUGGUCUCACUGGCCAUGUUGGUUAACAGAUCCUCAUUUGCUGGACGGCUGGCGAUGAUCUUUAUCGAUUGUCGUCAGUUGCCAGAACGUUUACUUUGAGAAAAUUAGAGUGCUAAAAGCAGGCUCACGCCUAUAUAUAUUGCAUGGAAUAAUGAAAUAAGAUCUCGAUUUUAUUUCGUUGGUUUUAGAAAUUGAGAUAAUGAUUAAUAGGAUCAGAGGGGGGCGUACGUACUGUGGUGUGAGAGGUGAAAUUCUUGGAUCGCCACAGGACGAACAGCAGCGAAGGCGUUCGCCAAGAAUGUUUUCAUUAAUCAAGAACGAAAGUUUGAGGUUCGAAGACGAUUAGAUACCGUCCUAGUUCAAACCAUAAACGUUGCCAACUGUCUUUUAGAUGCGGUUAUUUACAUGACUCAUCUGGCGGAUCUCGAGAAAUCUAAGUUUUUAGGUUCCGGGGGAAGUAUGGUUGCAAAGCUGAAACUUAAAGAAUUGACGG
rnacentral:rRNA from 1 species